rnacentral:rRNA from 1 species
AGUGAACGCUGGCGGUAGGCCUAACACAUGCAAGUCGAACGGCAGCACAGGAAAGCUUGCUCUCUGGGUGGCGAGUGGCGGACGGGUGAGGAAUACAUCGGAAUCUACUCUGUCGUGGGGGAUAACGUAGGGAAACUUACGCUAAUACCGCAUACGACCUACGGGUGAAAGCAGGGGACCUUCGGGCCUUGCGCGAUUGAAUGAGCCGAUGUCGGAUUAGCUAGUUGGCGGGGUAAAGGCCCACCAAGGCGACGAUCCGUAGCUGGUCGGCGAGGAUGAUCAGCCAAACUGGAACUGAGACACGGUCCAGACUCCUAAGGGAGGCAGCAGUGGGGAAUAUUGGACAAUGGGCGCAAGCCUGAUCCAGCCAUACCGCGUGGGUGAAGAAGGCCUUCGGGUUGUAAAGCCCUUUUGUUGGGAAAGAAAUCCAGCUGGCUAAUACCCGGUUGGGAUGACGGUACCCAAAGAAUAAGCACCGGCUAACUUCGUGCCAGCCGCCGCCGUAA